rnacentral:rRNA from 1 species
AUACGGAAGGUCCGGGCGUUAUCCGGAUUUAUUGGGCUUAAAGGGAGCGCAGGCGGAGAUGCAAGCGUGACGUCAAAUUUCGGGGCUCAACCCCGUCUCGCGUCGCGAACUGCGUCCCUUGGUUGCGGGAAGGGGAGGCGGAACUCGUGGUGUAGCGGUGAAAUGCAUAGAUAUCACGAAGAACUCCGAUCGCGAAGGCAGCCUUCCGGCCCGUCAACGACGCUCAUGCUCGAAGGUGCGGGUAUCAAACAGGAUUAGAUACCCUGGUAGUCCGCACAGUAAACGAUGGACACCCGCGGUUUGGCCUAUAUGGCUGAGCCGCCAAGCGAAAGCGUUAAGUGUCCCACCUGGGGAGUACGCCGGCAACGGUGAAACUCAAAGGAAUUGACGGGG